UGGGGAAUAUUGGACAAUGGGCGAAAGCCUGAUCCAGCCAUGCCGCGUGUGUGAAGAAGGUCUUCGGAUUGUAAAGCACUUUAAGUUGGGAGGAAGGGCAGUAAGCGAAUACCUUGCUGUUUUGACGUUACCGACAGAAUAAGCACCGGCUAACUCUGUGCCAGCAGCCGCGGUAAUACAGAGGGUGCAAGCGUUAAUCGGAAUUACUGGGCGUAAAGCGCGCGUAGGUGGUUCGUUAAGUUGAAUGUGAAAGCCCCGGGCUCAACCUGGGAACUGCAUCCAAAACUGGCGAGCUAGGGUAGGGCAGAGGGUGGUGGAAUUUCCUGUGUAGCGGUGAAAUGCGUAGAUAUAGGAAGGAACACCAGUGGCGAAGGCGACCACCUGGCCUAACACUGACGCUGGGGUACGAAAGCAUGGGGAGCAAACAGG
rnacentral:rRNA from 1 species